rnacentral:rRNA from 1 species
AGUGAACGCUGGCGGUAGGCCUAACACAUGCAAGUCGAACGGCAGCACAGUAAGAGCUUGCUCUUACGGGUGGCGAGUGGCGGACGGGUGAGGAAUACAUCGGAAUCUACUUUUUCGUGGGGGAUAACGUAGGGAAACUUACGCUAAUACCGCAUACGACCUACGGGUGAAAGCAGGGGAUCUUCGGACCUUGCGCGAUUGAAUGAGCCGAUGUCGGAUUAGCUAGUUGGCGGGGUAAAGGCCCACCAAGGCGACGAUCCGUAGCUGGUCUGAGAGGAUGAUCGGCCACACUGGAGCUGAGACACGGUCCAGACUCCUGCGGGAGGCAGCAGUGGGGAAUAUUGGACAAUGGGCGCAAGCCUGAUCCAGCCAUACCGCGUGGGUGAAGAAGGCCUUCGGGUUGUAAAGCCCUUUUGUUGGGAAAGAAAAGCAGCAGGUUAAUACCCCGCUGUUCUGACGGUACCCAAAGAAUAAGCACCGGCUAACUUCGUG